rnacentral:lncRNA from 12 species
AUGAGCUCUGAUCAUGGCCAUCAGAAACGAACUCUUCCUCCAACGCCAUCCCCUCCUUCCCACUCCUCCCAAAGGCGACUCACCAUCCCCAGGGCUCCUCCACCACCCCCCAACUUAGCCAUCUCUUUGGGGGGGGUCUCUUUGGCUGGGCCAUUCACAGGCACCUCAGCCUUCCUUCCCCUCCUCUGCUCAUCACCAUCUCCCCCAACCCCCCGUCCCCCAGGGGAAAGCCAAAGGAUGGCUGCAGUGAAAGUGAGGAUGAUGAUGAUGAUAGUGAUGAAGAGUGCCGCCGGCAGUGAGACUUCUCAUCUCCUCAUCCCUUCUGCCACCAAGGGGCUGACGUCAGAUGAAGAUAAUCGACUCCCCACUGGAGCUUUCAAAGAGCAAGGUCAACACCUCCCCGUCCCUGUCCACUGUCUCAUCCCCUCUCCCUGUCUGAGUUUUCUAAAAUGACCACGUUCUGGGCGGCAAGUGACUUAGCCAAAUGUGCUGGGGUGAGACCAGGAGAAUAGGCACAUUCCGGUUCCAACCCGUCACUGACCUCGGGGCUACCUUGGGCAGGUCUGGACCUCUGCCUGGGUCUCCGCUGCCUCAUCUCUGCCCUCAGAGCUCUGGCUCGCCGGCACCACGAUUCCGUGGCUCUGGGACUCCAGGAGCUCCCCAGCUUGGAAGAGUCUAGAGUUCACCUUGCUGUCACUUCCCACCUUCACCCCUCCACCCUUCUCAAGCAAGGGAAAAGUAGGGAGGCAGAGAACAGAAAUCGUGAAAAGCUAAGCCAUACUUCCAUUUAUCUACAGCCGUGCAAACAGCACCAUCUUUCUCCCAUGAAGAUAGAAAAUAAAAGCCAAGAUAAACUAUAAGCCUCUCA